UACGUAGGGUGCAAGCGUUGUCCGGAUUCAUUGGGCGUAAAGAGCGUGUAGGCGGCCAGGUAGGUCGGUUGUGAAAACUGGAGGCUCAACCUUCAGAGGUCGACCGAAACCAUCUGGCUAGAGUCCGGGAGAGGAGAGUGGAAUUCCUGGUGUAGCGGUGAAAUGCGCAGAUAUCAGGAAGAACACCCGUGGCGAAAGCGGCUCGCUGGAACGGGACUGACGCUGAGGCGCGAAAGCGUGGGGAGCGAACAGG
rnacentral:rRNA from 1 species